GCUUUUGUUUACCAUUGUGAGCCGCAGCAGCUCGAACCCCCCAGAGGAAAUACCUCUGCAUCAUUUCGGACCAACUGUCACACCAAGGAUGGGUUUCCCAUUCAAACUGGAGGAAUUUCUGCCUUUAAAUCAGCCCCAGCACCAUCGACAGACCACUUCCACAGCCAGCCAGACUUUGGAGGUAAAGGGACAAAGAGGCAUUGUGAAGAUGACCUCUUUUUUUGGUCUUUUUGGGACACGGGUGCCCUCCUGGGACAUUGGAUCUCUCUCUCUCGCUCUCUCCUCCUUUCUUCCUGCAGCAUGAUCAUCUUUCAGGACAUCUGCCAAGAUCGUGGGCUAGUGUGACUUCCAUCAAGCUCACUCAUGUAGCAAAACGCUGGCUUUGCAGUCACUAAAUUGGCUGAAAGGCCAGGAGUUUCAGUUCUCCGUGUAAAUGCCCGAAAGACUCCAUCAUUUGGGCUUUUUCAGUCAGAUUUGGGUUAGACUCUUAUCAGGCUGCAUGUAAACGUAGUCACUGAUGCUUCCUGAAAAGGUUUAAAAAAAAAAAAAAAAAAAAAUCCCCCACAUGCUCUAUAAUUAGAUCAAAUCAGUUUGACAAUGAACAAACUUCUCCUGUUACCUGGGAAGAGAUUAAAGACACACAAUACUGUAGCAAAGAUCAAGGCCUGUGAUUAAAUUAAAUUCAUAGGGUGUGUGUUUUUUUUGGGGUUUGGUUUUUGCACUACCUCAUUACCAUAACAAGUCCCAACAGGAGCGAAUGGGUGCGUGAUCGGUAAAAGAAACGUUUGAUUUGAUUCCUUUUUGUGGCAUGAACGGCGAGACGAAAUAACUCAAAAAGUAACUGAAUCUGGCUCAUCAGACCUAAUGCUUUGUCUCUACCUGCCCUUUCCAAUGCGUCCAGUAAGCAGAGAGAUGCCAGCGCUCAAGUAGCAGCUCCUUUUCAUUCAAGCUUCUAUUGGAUUUCUCCUUACCUGAAAGAAACCCUGGUCUCAUUUCUUCAACUUCUUUUUUUUUUUUCUUUUUGGGAUCAUUUUUAUAUAUAUAUAAAAUCAUUUUUACCGGGAUUUGUGCAAUAUUUGAUCUUAACUGUCAUGUUGUUGACCAAACUGUAUAUUGUAUAAACAAGUGACACGUUGUUUGAAAGCAACAAAAUCACCAAUGUCUUCCAUUAAGAUAUGUAUAGACUCAUGUGCAUUAGCUUAUUUAGCGGGACUGUGGUGCCAACAUUAUAGUAGCCAUGCAUGACCAGUUGUGAUGCUUGCUUUUUUUGAAAACUAGUUCAAAUCAAUUCCUAGACUAAGCUGGAGCUCCAAACCGUGGAAACCAUUUCAGUCCAAAUUUAAAAGGCUGGUAGAUUGACGUACAACACCUGUUAGAUGCACCACAUUUAGACACAGCUUGGCCCCCAAAUCUUAGACUAAUGCCAGAUCUCCCUUUUUUAUUCCAUGUCCUGGAUGUAGAAUAAGUUGGAAAAAAAAAUACAAUUAAAGUAUGACACGAUCAGGGUAUGCAGUUAAUAAGUAUAGAUUCAAGUUCAUAUAGGUGUAUAUUCUCAAUAUAAGUAAGUGUUUUCUAACAGAACUGCUGUAGGAUUCUUAAUGAUGCCCUAAAUUGUAUUCAGGCACUUUUAAGCAUCAAAAAUAAUAAGGUAGGAAUUAUGCAACAGCCAAAAAGAUCCCAGAUGUGACAGUGGUAGAAACCUUUUAGAAAAAGGAAAAAAAAAAAAAAAGUUCUAUUAACAGUAGUGCUUUAAUCCUAGAUUUGGCUAUAAUUGGGAGGGAUCCGACGUAGUGUUUAAGUCCUAGAAUUAAGAUCUCAUCUUGACAUUGUAUUGUACAUAAUACCUCAUAUAAUUUUGGGAGUCAGAGCGAGAUAUUUUAAUCCAUAAAAUUGUAUUUGAUUAUAGUUUUAGAAGCAGUAACCUACAAUAAUGCAUGAGUUUAGUGCCAGGGUGUAAGUGUUAAAAGGAGUCUGUAAUGUCCCCUUCUCCCGUGCUCUCUUUUAUGCCUACGGUAGCAAUCUAUUAGUCCCUUUUUUUUUUUUUUUUUUUUUUUUUUGGAGGGGUGGGGGGAGUCGUAUAAUAUAUGGCUUUAGAAUACAGUAUCACUUACAGAGGUUUGGGCCACUUCCUGCAGAACAAGGUAUACUGCGAGGACAGCUGUAGCUGACCUGACCUUGUAUUCUUUCCACACCAAAACAAGAAUCGAAACCAACAACGGUACACGAGAGAUGCUUUCCAUUUCAAUUCAAUUUUUUUUUUUUACAUCUACCAAAAACCCUAACCCCACAUUUUAGAGCUAGACUUUCAGUAACUCUGUGGCUGCAAAGGACUUACUGAAUGAACUGGACACUCGUCGGAGAAGCACUUCCUCUCUCUGUACCGACUUGUCAUCAUCGCCAUCCUGUCUUGAAUACUGUGUUCUAAAAACCCUGUAACGCUCCUUGUGGGGAUUUAUAAUCCCAAUCUAGAAACAAGUAGGCGCCUAGCAACAAGAAUAUGUGGGUUUAGAAAAUAUGCAUGAACUAGCAGAAAUACUGAAUGAUUUGUAUUGCAUGCAAUAAUCCAACUUUGUAAUGUGAAUUGAGUGUUAAUUAGGCUAUUGAAAAUGUUCACAUCAGGUGUUCUGUGACACGGUGACACUAGGGCUGGGUUAAAAGAAUCCAUUCUCCAAUCAAAAUCGAGCUCCGUCUGAGCGAUCGGUUAUCGAUUUAUAUAUAAAAUCCCCAAAUCGAUCAAAACAAAAUAUGUUCAUAUGAUGUUAGUCCUGUUAAGUGAAGUACUUUAAAAAACUUUUUUGGGGGUCAAUUCUGAAACAACCCAGUGUAUUAUAAAAAAAAAAUUUGAAUUUGAGGGCUGCUUCUUGCAUGUAUAAUUUAAUGUAUGCCAUAAGUUCUCUGAGAAUCCAAGCAAAAUUGGUACUGUAAGUGAAAUUUCCCAAACCUAAUGAUGGUGAAUGGGAAAUGUAACUGAAUCUGGACCUCGUGAAUCGGAAGGGAUGGGAUGGAUUCAGGAAAUGUUUGGCGAUCCCCGGCUCUAGUGACAACCUGGGGACGGUUGUUUGACACAACAGUAACUCUGAUCACCAUUUAGGUUUUUACCGACUAAAUUGCACCAAAAAAAAAAAGAGAGUAGUUUUGUGUCCAACGUGACCAUGGGCAGUACAGCCACAGUGCAGCUGAAAAACACUGAUCGGCCUUUGUUCCCAAUAUAUCCAAAAAACUAAACAAAAGCUUAGGUGAAAUGAUUUAAUGACAUUACUUUGUUGAUCAACUUUUCCACUGAGCAGGUGGACUGUGUAGAAACUAUGCACUCCAGAGGGAGAAAAUGGGCAUGCUUAUUACGUGUGAGCCUCUUGUCUGGUUUUGUAUUAACUGAAAAAAAAAGAAGAAAAGAAUCUGUAUCAGAAAUUCAGCAAUAAAAUGCAGCAUGGUGCCAAUUGGA